rnacentral:rRNA from 1 species
CCUACGGGAGGCAGCAGUAGGGAAUCUUCCACAAUGGGCGAAAGCCUGAUGCAGCAACGCCGCGUGGGUGAAGAAGGUCUUCGGAUCGUAAAACCCUGUUGUUAGAGAAGAAAGUGCGUGAGAGUAACUGUUCACGUUUCGACGGUAUCUAACCAGAAAGCCACGGCUAACUACGUGCCAGCAGCCGCGGUAAUACGUAGGUGGCAAGCGUUAUCCGGAUUUAUUGGGCGUAAAGGGAACGCAGGCGGUCUUUUAAGUCUGAUGUGAAAGCCUUCGGCUUAACCGGAGUAGUGCAUUGGAAACUGGGAGACUUGAGUGCAGAAGAGGAGAGUGGAACUCCAGGUGUAGCGGUGAAAUGCGUAGAGAUAUGGAAGAACACCAGUGGCGAAAGCGGCUCUCUGGUCUGUAACUGACGCUGAGGUUCGAAAGCGUGGGUAGCAAACAGGAUUAGAUACCCCAGUAGUC